UGGGGCGUCGACUAAUGGUAAGUCAACGGCCUUUGGAGCCGUUUAUGUAGGUUCGAAUCCUACCGCCCCAG
rnacentral:tRNA from 1 species